GACGAACGCUGGCGGCGUGCCUAAUACAUGAAAGUGAAGUUCAGUGGCGGACGGGUGAGUAAUGUGUGGGUACUUACCGAUAGAGGGGGAUAACUACUUGAAAAGGUAGCUUAUAACGCAUACUCGCGGAUAACCCAUAUGGGAUUAGCUAGUAGGUGAGGUAAUGGCUCACCUAGGCGACGAUACCUAGCUGGUCUGAGAGGAUGAUCAGCCACACUGGGACUGAGACACGGCCCAGACUCCUACGGAGGCAGCAGUGGGGAAUAUUGCACAAUGGGCGAAAGCCUGAUGCAGCCAUGCCGCGUGUAUGAAGAAGGCCCUAGGGUUGUAAAGUACUUUCAGUCGGGAGGCGUUACCGACAGAAGAAGCACCGGCUAACUCCGUGCCAGCCGCCGCGGUAAUAC
rnacentral:rRNA from 1 species